rnacentral:rRNA from 1 species
GACGAACGCUGGCGGCAGGCCUAACACAUGCAAGUCGAACGAGUGGCGGACGGGUGAGUAAUGUCUGGGAAACUGCCCGAUGGAGGGGGAUAACUACUGGAAACGGUAGCUAAUACCGCAUACCAUCGGAUGUGCCCAGAUGGGAUUAGCUAGUAGGUGGGGUAACGGCGCACCUAGGCGACGGGCCCUAGCUGGUCUGAGCGGCUGACCAGCCACACUGGAACUGAGACAGGGUCCAGACGCCUACGGGAGGCAGCAGUGGGGAAGAUUGCACAAUGGGCGCAAGUCGGAUGCAGCCAUGCCGCGUGUAUGAAGAAGGCCUUCGGGUUGUAAAGUACUUUCAGCGAGGAGGCGUUACUCGCAGAAGAAGCACCGGCUAACUCCGGGCCAGCAGCCGCGGUAAUAC